UUUCUUUCGCGAAAUGUAACUAAAUGAAAUUGUAUAAAAAUUACAACGGAUGGAAAUGGGCAGCACAAACAUUUAUUUGUUUUGCAAUAUACUUACAGUUCAUUGUAGAUGUCAAAUCUUAAAUUCUAAGUGAAAAUUGAAAACUCAGUUUCCACGCCCCUGAUAAGUCGUCAACCUCAGCGUCACCAUUACAACACAAGAAAGCUACAUUUCAGGGGCGAAGAUAUGCAUAGCUGGGAGCGUGGGGAGCUCACUGUGACACUAGAUUUUUCUUUUUUGUAGACAACUGUGGAUCUAAAAAUUGGCUUGCAGUUUUAGCAAUGAAACAUUAAUUUAGUUUGUUCCAACAUGCAUUAUAAGUGCGAGAUGAUUCAGUGAUGAGCAAGUACAACAAAAAUAUUUGAACUGAAAAUUUUCCUGAUCCGGAAUAUACGUUAUAAGUGAUGAAGGGAACGGAAUAAGCCUUGAUGAUUACGUGACAUGAAAAUUGCUACAAUUUGAAGAAACACCUUAAAAUAUGGUGUCUUGGGCAGGAAACAUUCAGGAUGAUCCAGUUCGACGCACGGUUUUGGAAGGGCAUGCAGCACUGGAACGAACAGCGGACAGUUUGGCACGUUCCCAGGACACCAAAUUCCC